rnacentral:snRNA from 15 species
CUGCAGCUGACAGUUGGAGUGAAAAUAAAGGUAGAAAAUAGGAAGAAAGAUUAGCAUGGCCCCUGCCAAGGAUGACACGUAAAUUCGUGAAGCGUUGCUCAUUCAU